GGGGCUGUAGCUCAGCUGGGAGAGCACCUGCUUUGCAAGCAGGGGGUCGCCAGUUCGACUCUGGUCAGCUCCA
rnacentral:tRNA from 1 species